UCUAAGUAUAAGCAAUCUAUACCGUGAAACUGCGAAUGGCUCAUUAAAUCAGUUAUCGUUUAUUUGAUAGUACCUUACUACUUGGAUAACCGUGGUAAUUCUAGAGCUAAUACAUGCUAAAAACCUCGACUUCGGAAGGGGUGUAUUUAUUAGAUAAAAAACCAAUGCCCUUCGGGGCUCUCUGGUGAUUCAUAAUAACUUAACGAAUCGCAUGGCCUUGUGCCGGCGAUGGUUCAUUCAAAUUUCUGCCCUAUCAACUUUCGAUUGUAUGGUCUUGGCUUACAAUGGUUUCAACGGGUAACGGGGAAUUAGGGUUCUAUUCCGGAGAGGGAGCCUGAGAAACGGCUACCACAUCCAAGGAAGGCAGCAGGCGCGCAAAUUACCCAAUCCCGACACGGGGAGGUAGUGACAAUAAAUACUGAUACAGGGCUCUUUUGGGUCUUGUAAUUGGAAUGAGUACAAUUUAAAUCCCUUAACGAGGAACAAUUGGAGGGCAAGUCUGGUGCCAGCAGCCGCGGUAAUUCCAGCUCCAAUAGCGUAUAUUAAAGUUGUUGCAGUUAAAAAGCUCGUAGUUGAACCUUGGGCCUGGCUGGCCGGUCCGCCUCACCGCGUGCACUGGUCCGGCCGGGCCUUUCCUCCUGGGGAGCCGCAUGCCCUUCACUGGGUGUGUCGGGGAACCAGGACUUUUACUUUGAAAAAAUUAGAGUGUUCAAAGCAGGCCUAUGCUCGAAUACAUUAGCAUGGAAUAAUAGAAUAGGACGUGUGGUUCUAUUUUGUUGGUUUCUAGGACCGCCGUAAUGAUUAAUAGGGAUAGUCGGGGGCAUCAGUAUUCAAUUGUCAGAGGUGAAAUUCUUGGAUUUAUUGAAGACUAACUACUGCGAAAGCAUUUGCCAAGGAUGUUUUCAUUAAUCAGUGAACGAA
rnacentral:rRNA from 1 species